UACGUAGGGUGCAGGCGUUAAUCGGAAUUACUGGGCGUAAAGCGUGCGCAGGCGGCCUCUUAAGUCAGAUGUGAAAUCCCCGGGCUUAACCUGGGAACUGCGUUUGAAACUGGGAGGCUUGAGUGUGGAAGAGGGGGGUGGAAUUCCAGGUGUAGCAGUGAAAUGCGUAGAGAUCUGGAGGAACACCGAUGGCGAAGGCAGCCCCCUGGGCUAACACUGACGCUCCAUGCACGAAAGCGUGGGGAGCAAACAGG
rnacentral:rRNA from 1 species